GCAAGUCGAGUGCGCGCCUGUAGCAAUACAGGUGGCGCACGGCGCACGGGUGCGUAACACGUGGGUAAUCUGCCCUCUGAUGGGGAAUAACUCGCCGAAAGGCGAGCUAAUUCCGCAUAAUAUUCCGAGAACCUCGGUUUUUGGACUGAAAGGCGUAAGUCGUCGGAGGAGGAGCCCGCGCACGAUUAGCUAGUUGGUAGGGUAAUGGCCUACCAAGGCUUUGAUCGUUAGCUGGUCUGAGAGGAUGGCCAGCCACACUGGAACUGAGACACGGUCCAGACUCCUACGGGAGGCAGCAGUGGGGAAUCUUGCACAAUGGGCGAAAGCCUGAUGCAGCGACGCCGCGUGGGGGAUGAAGCUUCUCGGAGUGUAAACCCCUUUCGAUCCGGACGAAUGCCCGCAAGGGAUUGACGGUACGGAUAUAAGAAGCCCCGGCUAACUACGUGCCAGCAGCCGCGGUAAUACGUAGGGGGCCAGCGUUGUUCGGAAUUACUGGGUGUAAAGGGUUCGUAGGCGGUGCGGCAAGUUGGGAGUAAAAUCUCUGGGCUCAACCCAGAGACGGCUUCCAAAACUGCUGUGCUUGAGUGUGAGAGAGGCUCGUGGAAUUGCAGGUGUAGCGGUGAAAUGCGU
rnacentral:rRNA from 1 species